UGGGGGAUAUUGCACAAUGGGCGAAAGCCUGAUGCAGCGACGCCGCGUGGGGGAUGAAGGCUUUCGGGUUGUAAACCUCUUUCGCUAUCGAACAAGGCCCGCUUAGGGUGGGUUGAGGGUAGGUGGAGAAGAAGCGCCGGCUAACUACGUGCCAGCAGCCGCGGUAAUACGUAGGGCGCGAGCGUUGUCCGGAAUUAAUGGGUGUAAAGGGCUUGUAGGCGGCUUGUUGCGCCUGCUGUGAAAACGCGGGGCUUAACUUCGCGCGUGCAGUGGGUACGGGCAGGCUUGAGUGUGGUAGGGGUGACUGGAAUUCCAGGUGUAGCGGUGGAAUGCGCAGAUAUCUGGAGGAACACCGAUGGCGAAGGCAGGUCACUGGGCCAUUACUGACGCUGAGGAGCGAAAGCAUGGGUAGCGAACAGG
rnacentral:rRNA from 1 species